AUUGAACGCUGGCGGCAUGCCCUACACAUGCAAGUCGAACGGCAGCACGGGAGCAAUCCUGGUGGCGAGUGGCGAACGGGUGAGUAAUACAUCGGAACGUGCCCAGUCGUGGGGGAUAACGCAGCGAAAGCUGUGCUAAUACCGCAUGAGGUCUGCGGAUGAAAGCAGGGGACCGCAAGGCCUUGCGCGAUUGGAGCGGCCGAUGGCAGAUUAGGUAGUUGGUGGGGUAAAGGCUCACCAAGCCUGCGAUCUGUAGCUGGUCUGAGAGGACGACCAGCCACACUGGGACUGAGACACGGCCCAGACUCCUACGGGAGGCAGCAGUGGGGAAUUUUGGACAAUGGGCGCAAGCCUGAUCCAGCCAUGCCGCGUGCAGGAUGAAGGCCUUCGGGUUGUAAACUGCUUUUGUACGGAACGAAAAGGCCUUUUCUAAUAAAGAGGGCUCAUGACGGUACCGUAAGAAUAAGCACCGGCUAACUACGUGCCAGCCGCCGCCGUAA
rnacentral:rRNA from 1 species